UACGUAGGGUGCGAGCGUUGUCCGGAAUUAUUGGGCGUAAAGAGCUCGUAGGCGGUUUGUUGCGUCGGCCGUGAAAACCUGCAGCUUAACUGUGGGCCUGCGGCCGAUACGGGCAGACUUGAGUUCGGUAGGGGAGACUGGAAUUCCUGGUGUAGCGGUGAAAUGCGCAGAUAUCGGGAGGAACACCAAUGGCGAAGGCAGCUCGCUGGGACGUUACUGACGCUGAGACGCGAAAGCGUAGGGAGCAAACAGG
rnacentral:rRNA from 1 species